GUUUCAGUUCCAAAAACCGCAAUACCGUCAUGGCACCCGGUUUUAUAAUUUUUUAAAGAACAUCCAAUAUAUUUGUAAUUGGAGUCGCAUUAAAACAGUGAUCUUUUUUUGUACUCAAAUAUUUGUUCAUAUUUGUAUUGAAAACAUGAGUUCAGGUAGACCAAUUAAAUGUGUGGUAGUAGGAGAUGGAACAGUAGGAAAAACAUGUAUGUUAAUAUCAUAUACCACUGACAGUUUUCCAGGAGAAUAUGUUCCUACAGUGUUUGAUAAUUACUCAGCACCUAUGGUUGUGGAUGGAAUACCUGUUAGUCUUGGACUUUGGGAUACAGCAGGUCAAGAAGAUUAUGACAGGCUUCGUCCACUUUCAUAUCCACAGACUGAUGUUUUUUUAAUUUGUUUCUCAGUAACAAGCCCUUCAUCUUUUGAAAAUGUUACCAGCAAAUGGUACCCAGAGAUUAAACAUCACUGCCCAGAUGCUCCAAUGAUACUUGUUGGAACUAAAAUAGACUUACGAGAUGAUCGUGAAACACUUACUGCCUUAGCUGAACAAGGUCUUAGUGCUAUAAAACGUGAACAAGGACAAAAACUGGCAAAUAAGAUUCGUGCUGUGAAAUAUAUGGAAUGUUCUGCACUUACACAACGUGGUCUAAAACAAGUGUUUGAUGAAGCAGUUCGUGCUGUUUUAAGACCUGAACCUCAAAAACGCAGACAGAGAAGAUGCAUUAUGUUAUAAACAAUAAAUAAUCAAGAUUCAAUAUAGGUAAAACCAUAUAUAAACUGACAGACUGAAAUUAAUUUUCUCACAAAUAAAAAGGACAAAAUAUGAAUGUUUUGAAAAAGGUAGUAAAUCAUACAUUUUAAUAAAUUACUCUGGCAGCUAUAGUUUAUUUCAUUAAAAAUAAAGUAUAAUUUAUAGCUUGUACUUUUUUAUAAGCUAUAAAAUUAACAUAAAAUUAAAAAUCUAACACAAAAAUAUAUUAUUAUUAUUAUUAUUAUUUUAAAAAUAUUUAAUAUUUAACAAAAUAAAAAUAAUUACAAAUUUGCAUGCAUCUAAAGUAGUAAUUUCAUAAUUUUAUAUAUAUACUAAUCACACAUAUAUAAUCAUAUUAAUCUAUGAUUAUAUCUUAUUGUUUAUUAUUUUAAAUAUAGCGAUUUAAUUAAUAAAAUAAAACUAUAUUACAAUAAUUUUAAAUAUUGAAUUUUAAAAUUUUGAUCAUAAGAGCUGCCAGAUUUCUAAAUUUUUAUACCUAUAAUAGUAAAAACAUUCAUUUAGUAUAUUCAUAUGAUAAAUAUAACAAUCAAUAUACUAACAAUUUUUAUAAAAUGUAAAAUAGCAUUAUAGAAUUAUUUAAACAAACAGUGCCAUAGCAACGAAAAAAAAUCAAAUCAAUGACACAAACAUUUUUUAUGUCACUUUUAAACAUAUGUAUUUUUUAAAUCUCAUAUUAGAGAACGUAAAAAAAAAGUUGUAAAGGAAUUGAAAAAUCUCAUAAGAAAUAUUUUGUAUUUAUCUUAAAAUUUUUUAUAAAUAUUGCAAUUAUAAUAUUUCUUUACACUCUAACAAAAAAAUAUAUUAUGCAUGAAAUACUGCCAACAAAUAUUCAUGUUUUGUGCAUAACAAAUUUAAUUUAUAUGGCAUAUUUUUUUGCUAGAAUAUGAACAUUCAUUUUAUAAUGACAUAAUACCAAAUACAUUUUAAUGUAUUAUGUAUAUAUUAAUAUUUAUUUUAUUUUGACUGUUUAUUGAAUAAUUAUAUUCUGAAAAACAUUUAUUAUAGAAUACUUUAAAUGUUUUACAUUUGAAAUUGUAUUCCUGUUAAUGGAUGUGGCAGAUAUAAUUUUUAUUGAUUAUUGCACUGGUGCAAUUUGAUUAAUAAAAGGUUCUAAAUUAUUUUUCAUAAAAAUUAAAGAAAAAAGAAAAGAAUCAAAAUAUAUAUUGAGUUAUGAAGAAAAUGUAAUACCAGUAACAAACAUAUGGUGCAAAGUAUGCCUAUAAUACAGAGAACAUAGCACAACUUUAUUUAAAGAAUAAUUAUAACAUUUUUAAUCUUCUAUUAUUAUUUUAUAAAAUUCAUUUAUAUCAAUUUUCAUGUUUACAAAAUUAAUAAUACAUAUUAUAAAGAAUAUAUUGUAUAGAAUAAAUAUUCUUUUUUUUUAUAAAAUAUUUACACACUCAUAUGUAUAUUUAGAUUAAUUAUUUUUUACUAUAAAUUUUUUUUUAUUAUAUUAUAACAUAAUUUUCAUUUAUAUUCAAUAAUAUUAAAACACAUUUUGAUACAUAUUACAUGCUCUCUAUAAAAGGAUUCAAUAAAAAAAUAGUGUGAUGAUAUCUAAAAAUAUUCCACCAUUUGUGAACAUGCUAUUUUUUUAUAUUUGGAAAAAGCUUAGAAUAUAGAAAGAUAGGACGUGCGUGCCAUAUGCUUACAGAUUUAUAAAAAAAUAUUGAAUAUUAUACUUUAUUCGUACUUGUACUCAAUGUGCAUUUUGAGUAAAUUAUAAAAAUAUGUCAACAUGUCAACAUAUUUAAAACAGGAAAGAAUUCCUAAUGUAAGUGAGAAUGAACUAAGAAUAGGCAUAUUAAUGCUUGCUAAGUGUACAUACUGUAGCAUAGCAGUAACAUACUCUAAAUUUCAAUCAAAUUUUAAAAAUGCUAAACUUUUUUUUUUUAUUUUCUUUUCUUUCUUAUAUAUAUAUUAUAUAUAUAAUAUAUUUUAAGAUGUGUACAAUCUAUUACAAUUAAUUAUAUGAUUGAAAUAUAGAGUGUCAUAAAAUAUUUGCAGUAAGCUUUUCAUAUUUUGUUAUACAUGCUAUAAUCUUAAACAAAAUAACAUUUUUUAAUAUUUUUUGUUGCAAUAUUUUAUAAAUUUAUGUUUUAGUUCCUGCAUAAAACAAUUGUUUCUUUAAUAGUUUAAAAAGCACAAUUGAAAACAUUAUUAUUGUUCUAAACAAAAGGAACUAAGCUUAGAAAUUUUUUAUAUUAUGUACAUAAGUACAUAAAUGAUAUACAUACAUUUAUUAUAUGAAAUAAUCAAAUACUAGCAGUAUGUUAUAUAGAAAUUGUACGUAAAAAUUUGCAUUUAUUGUAAGUAGUGCAUUUAUUUUACAGUUAUUAUAUAAAGAUAAAAUUUAUCAUAUAAAAAUUAAUUAAAAAUAAGAAUAAAACAAAGCACAAUUUUUUAAAUAGUAUUUAAAUGACAUUUAAUUUUUAAGAUUAAUAUGAGAAAUUUUUUUGCAGUAUUAUGAUGUAAAUAAAAAUUUUAAGCUAUUACUUCAAAAUUUACUACUUAUACCUGAAAAUUUUCUUAUAUACUUAAACGCAUAUUUAUUCACAUUUUAUUAUAAUAAGAAUUAUUAAUUAUAACUUUAAGUGAGAAAAAAAAUUAAAUUCAGGCAGCUAGUAUUAAAAAUACAAGUAAAUUAUUUUUUAAUUUGUAUAUAUGAUAUUUUUUAUUUCUCAAAUUUUUCAAAAAUUCUCAAAAAAUUUUUAAUAAUGUAAUAAAUCCAUACAGGUUGGUAAGAUGAAUUACACUACUUACAACUUGUGCAUUUAAUGAAAAAUAUUUAAUAUUAACAUUGUCCUUUUUUUUCUUUUUUGUUUUUUUUUCUUUUUUCUUUUUUUUUAUAAUAAGAAAGUAACAGUAAUGAAUGCUAUAAACCAAAGUUGAAUGUUACUUCUAAUGUUACUUAUAAUAAUCUUCAUUACAUAUUAUUGCAUAGAAAAAAUUAAUGUAUGAAAUGUAAAAAUAUUCUAGUCAUCAAAAAUCUGAUUUUAUUUGUAAAGGAAAUAUGUUUUAUUGAAAUUUAUAUUCAAUUUACAUUUAAUUAAAAAAUAUUUUUUAUUAAAAAAAAAAUAAUCAAAUUAAAAUAAUAAAAUAAAUAACAUGAAAGUAUUGAUCUAAUUUAAGAUAUCAAUUUAAGUGAUGCAGAAUAAACCAAACAAGGAUAAGAAAACAUUAGAAAUACAAUAUAUGUACAUGUAUUAAGUAAAUUUAAUCACCAGUAUAUCUUAGAAAUAACAUUAUCUAUUUUCUUAAAAUUUCUGUAAAAUUUCUAAUUUCUGUACUAAUAAAACAGCACAAGAGGAUAAUAUAUUAAUAUAAAUAAUAUUUUAUUUAUAUUUCAUGCAUAAUUAAUAAUAUUAAAUUAAACAAUUUAUUUAAAUUAUGUUAUUAUAUCAUAUAAAAAUUGAAUUUUGAAUAAUUAAGUAUUCUAUUUUCAUAAACUCUGAACUCAGAACUCUUUUGCUGUUAGUACAAAACUGAAUAUAAAGAAAAAAAUUAAAAAACUACUUUUAACACUAUCCUAUUUUCUUAAAAAAAAUUCAAAUUACAAUGUUGAAUAAUAAUCAAAAUGUAACUGCAAUAUAAAUGCAUGUUUUACAUACCACUUGCAUUUAUAUUUUAUUUUUAUUUAUGUGUAUUUUGAAAAAAACUUCUUAAAAUAAAGUACACAAAAUGAAAAAUAGUUAAUUUUUAAUUAAGAUCCCAUUAUAAUUUAUUUAAUUAACAAAAAUUAUGAUUUAAUUUUUGUUUAUAGUUAUCAAAGUUAUAUUAAAACAUUUGAAAAUAAAAAUAUUCGUAAAAUAUAAUAUAUUAAAAAUUAAAUAAUAAUAUAAAUAAAAUGAAUUAUUUAUAUUAUUUAUAUAUAAUUGGUUCUAAAUAAAUGAUUUAUAUGGGAUUCUAUAAAAAUAACAUUUUUCCGAUUAUUAAAAUUAUGAAGACAAAAUAAACUAAUAUAUCAUUUUUGUCAUAAUAAUAUAUGUAUAAUGUAUUUAUUAAAUAAAAGAAUUAUAUAAAGAUUUAUAUUGUAAAAAUAUAAAUGACAGAAAAAAAAUUUUUAUAAAUUAAUAAAUAAAAUGUAAUUUCAAUAUAAAAAAAGUAAUGUAUGAUAAAUAAUAAAGAUAAACGAAAAAAUGACUUUUUUAAAAUGUAUAUUUAAUUUUUAUCUAAAAUUUAUCUUAAAAAUUUUACAUCUAAUAAUGAAUGAAUCUUUUAUAAAAAUCGAUAUAUUAAAAAAUUAAUUUAUUUAAUACAUAUUGAUUUUAAAUUUUUAUUCAAAAAUAACUCAUUUUAUCAAUAACAAAAAAAAUGUUUAAAAAUUUCUUUUCUGUUAAAAAAUUAAAUUAAAUAUAAAUAUUUAAUUAGAUAUUUAGCUUGGCACUAUAUUUUAAAAUAUAAAAUUCAUAAACAUUGCAUAUAGUAUAAAAAUAGCUUCAUGAUCUAAUGUGAAAUACUGCUACAAUACCUAACCUUUUAAACGUUUGUUAAAACGUUUUUGAAAUAUGUUACAUUGGAUAAUUUUUAAUGUAAUACGAAGAACAGUAUGUACAAAUGUGCAAAUAUUUUACACAUUAAAAAAUAUAUCGGAGUUUAAUUCUAAACGUUAUAAUUUAUAUAUAAAUUAUUUAUAUCCACAAAAUUUUGUACCUGUAACAUUUAUAAGAUUCAAUAGCAAAAAAAUGAUUUCAAAACAAAAUAGAUACAAAGAAAAUCAAACGGAAGAUAAUUUUAUUGAUGAUAAUGAUGAUGAAUAUGAAUAUGAUAAUGACAAUGAUACAGUUAUUGAUGAUUAUUUAAAUACAGAAAAAUCAAAAAUAAUAGUAACUACAGUACCAUCUCUUCGAUUAGAUGCUAUUGCUAAAGCUGGAUUUGGAAUGUCACGAGCAAAAGUAGAUAGAGAAUUUUAUAUGAGUAAUAUACGUGUAAAUGGAAAAAAAUGUUUUAAAAAAGGAAUAAAGGUUAAUCUUGGAGAUGAAAUAGAUUUUAUUCAGAAACGAAGUCCUGAUAAUUCAAAUUAUUUAAUAAUAAAUCGAUGUAUAUUAUUAUCAAUUAAGACGGAACAAAAAGAAGAUUUUAAAAUAAAAUUACUUCAAAAUAAAUCUUUAUUAAUUGAAGAAUAUAAAGAUAAAUGGCAUAAUGAUACAACUAAUUAAAAAUAAUUAAUUAUUUAAUGAUUGAUUAAGAGAGUAUGCAAUUUAUUUAUGUAUAAAAUUGAUAUAUAAUAUAUAUAUAUAUAUAUAUAUAUAUAUAUAUAUAUAUGAUACAUAUAUAAUAAAAAAAUAUAUUAAUAAUUAACAUGUAAUAAUUGUAUAAAAUUAUAUAAAAAUAGAAUAUAUAAAUGAAUAGUAUAAAUUUCAAACAUAAUUUUUAAUAAUAAUAUAUAUAUAAUUCAAAAAGAAAUUAUUUUUCUAAAAGAAAAGCUAUUCAUAUUUUAUUGAAUGUUUAUUCAUAUUUGUUAAUGUACUUUCUAUAAUUUUAUUGCACUGAAAAAAAAAAUUUAAUUUGAAAUUAUAUUUUACAUUUAUAUAAAAUAAUAUUUAGUAUACUUACAUAAGCUAUACAAAGUAUUCCACUUGAACAUAAGUUAUUCAAAUUUUCUAAUAUUUUUGUAAUAUUAGAUGUGCAUUUAAUUUUCUAUAAAAUAUAGAAUAUGUAAAUAUAUAUAAUAUAUAUGAAUAAUAUAUGUAAACUGAUAUAUAAAAUCACAAUUAAUAUAUAAUAUUUUAUUAGUUAAAUAAAAUACAAAAAUACUUACUUCCAAAACAAAUAUUGUAUCAUCAUCAUUUAAAAAUGGCAGAAAUGCAAGUACUAAAUGUAAUUGCUGGCAUUGAAAACAAUAUUUUAUAAUGUUAGAGAAAUUUAAUGCAUAUAAAACUGGACAUGAAUAUAAAAGUUGCAAAGCUUCAAUACAAUUUUCAAUUUGUUCAGAAGUCGGAUUCAUAUCCAUUUUUUUGAAAGGUUCUGAAAUUAUUACUUCCCAUCCAAAUAAAUAUCCAUUAGAAUUUACAAUAGUAUUUAUAUUUUGUACUUGUAAUAAAAUUGUUUUUAAUUCAUUAAUCUGCAAAUAUAAUAAAAAUAUAUUAAU